CCUACGGGAGGCAGCAGUGGGGGAUAUUGCACAAUGGGGGAAACCCUGAUGCAGCGACGCCGCGUGUGGGAAGACGGUCCUCUGGAUUGUAAACCACUGUCCCCAGGGACGAAGAUGACGGUACCUGGGGAGGAAGCUCCGGCUAACUACGUGCCAGCAGCCGCGGUCAUACGUAGGGAGCGAGCGUUGUCCGGAAUUACUGGGUGUAAAGGGAGCGUAGGGGGGUCUGCAAGUUGGGUGUCAAAUCUACCGGCUCAACCGGUAGCCGCACUCAAAACUGCAGUGCUUGAGUGAAGUAGAGGCAGGCGGAAUUCCUAGUGUAGCGGUGAAAUGCGUAGAUAUUAGGAGGAACACCAGUGGCGAAGGCGGCCUGCUGGGCUUUUACUGACGCUGAUGCUCGAAAGUGUGGGGAGCAAACAGGAUUAGAUACCCUAGUAGUC
rnacentral:rRNA from 1 species